rnacentral:rRNA from 1 species
UGGGGCAUAUUGCACAAUGGGCGAAAGCCUGAUGCAGCGACGCCGCGUGGGGGAUGAAGGCUUUCGGGUUGUAAACCUCUUUCGCUAUCGAACAAGGCCCGCUUAGGGUGGGUUGAGGGUAGGUGGAGAAGAAGCGCCGGCUAACUACGUGCCAGCAGCCGCGGUAAUACGUAUGGCGCGAGCGUUGUCCGGAAUUAUUGGGCGUAAAGGGCUUGUAGGCGGCUUGUUGCGCCUGCUGUGAAAACGCGGGGCUUAACUUCUCGCGUGCAGUGGGUACGGGCAGGCUUGAGUGUGGUAGGGGGGACUGGAAUUCCAGGUGUAGCGGUGGAAUGCGCCGAUAUCUGGAGGAACACCGAUGGCGAAGGCAGGUCACUGGGCCAUUACUGACGCUGAGGAGCGAAAGCAUGGGUAGCGAACAGG